rnacentral:lncRNA from 1 species
GGAGGAGCCUCGUCUGGCAGCCAUGGGCAGCAGGAAGUAGGAAAGGCCAGCUUCCCCGAGUUGUGUUUUGACUUUCUCUUUUCUGGGUGACUCCUCUGGGGGCAUUGGUGGCCCUAACAGUGGGAGGGAGGAAGUGUAAGAGGCUGUGGUGGGGUGCUUUACCUCAGGGGACAGCCUGAGGCUUCUCCACAGAUGGUGCUGUCCAGUUGGUCUCAUUCAUAGGCAGGUCAGGAAGCUUGGCCUCCAGCGGGUCACAGUGGGCUGAGAAGCAAACCCCAGACACAGAGUCUCUAAGUGGACUGAAAUUCAUCAAUUAGGCUAGGCAGGCCACUGAAACACAGGAAUCCUGCCCAGCACUGGAAUUGUGGGCAAGCAUCUAAACACUGUACAGACUACAUAAUCCCCCCCAGCUUGGCCUCUUCCUUUAAAAUAAAAAGCUUUUAAAAAUCAGUGAUGGCUUUAAGUAGACUCUGAGGUCCACAGCUUUAAUUUGGCUUAGUGAGCUUGUUUUUCUGCUAAGGAUGAAUAGCUGACCACACAGAGCCUCAGUCUCUGCAGAGUCUCGGGAGGCCCAUUUGCCCCAUCCGGAUAACUCCCAUAAGAGCUAUAAGAGGCCAUUCAGAGUGGCAAACUGCUCAAUACAUGUGGUUGUUUUGGGGGGCCUUGGCCCUGAUGUGAGACCUUCUUUCUCUGGUUGACAAGGAAGGGGGAAGAGUUUGCUGGCUGGUACAGUAGAGGCUGAUUAAGUUGACCCGCCCUGCUGGGUCUGCCUCUCACCCCCUCAGGGGUGGGUUUGGAAACUAACAUGGCCUUGUUUGCUAACUGGACAGACAGGUGCUUGUGUGGGUUUCCUUUGACCACCAGCGGGUUCUUUGGGGAUGCUGAGUCCUUCAGUGCAAGCAAGCAAGGGGGAGGGUGUCUCUACCCUGGCCUUUUGGGCAAUUUUCCUGAGUGACUGAACCAAGGAGACCCAUGGUCAGGCUUGUGUGGCCCUGAAACGCAAACCUGUGGCUGGCCUGGGCAGGGGUUCGUGUUCCCACCCUGCUGUCCUCCUGCCUGGCGGUCUCUACCACGCCUCAAGUUGGGACUCUAGGCAUGGAGGGGACCCCUGCUCUCGGUUCUAGGGGUCAUAGAAGGACACUGUCACGCUCUUCUGCUUGUCCUGCAGGUUUUGGGAUUUGAGGUUGAUGCCGUGAACUCUGUGCAGUUCUCAAACCACGCAGGCUAUGCCCAUUGGAAUUGCUGACAUCCCAGGAAUGGUCUCAAGACAAAGAGUGUCACGAAGUAUGACUGCGUGCUCACUGGUUACACGAGAGACAAGUCCUUCCUGGCAGUGGUGGACAUUGUACAGGAGCUGAAACAACAGAACUCCGCUCAUGUGCGUGUGUGACCCUGUGAUGGGCGACAAGAGGAACGGAGAAGGCUCCAUGUACGUUCCCCAGGACCUCCCUCCCGUGUACAGGGACAAAGUGGUACCCGUGGCAGACAUCAUCACUCCCAACCAGUUUGAAGCUGAGUUGCUGACUGGCAGAAAAAUCCACAGCCAGGAAGAAGCACUUGAGGGAAGCCUGACGGCUCCACAGUGACCCAGCGCAUCCGGAUGGAGAUGCGCAAGGUGGACGCCGUCUUUGUGGGCCCUGGGGACCUCUUUACUGCCAUGCUUCUGGCGUGGACACACAAACACCCAGACAAUCUCAAGGUGGCCUGUGAGAAAACAGUGUCUGCUGUGCAGCACGUCCUACAGAGGACCAUCCGGUGUGCGAAAGCAGAUAGAGGAGAAGGACAGAAGCCCAGCCCGGCUCAGCUGGAGCUGAGGAUGGUCCAGAGCAAAAGGGACAUUGAGGACCCCGAGAUCGUUGUGCAGGCCACGGUGCUGUGAGGAUCACGCACACUCGCCCUGACACACAGUGAGCUGAGGUGUCCGUCUCCAUCCCUCUGAAAAGCUGUAACAUCUGCCUUAGAGCCAUGACUGAAACUGGACAUCAUGUUCCUUCCUGAGAGUCGGGUCUCAGCCAGUCUCUAGUGUGAAAAUGUGCCAUUGUGCUAUUUUUUUUUAAAUGACAAAGCUGUUGUAGGAAUAUGUGAUUCAGAACCAUGGUCCCUUCCCCCAAAGGCUCUGGGCCUCUGACUGCCUCAUAGGCGUGUGGAAGGAAGGAAGGUGGAGGAGGCCAGCCUGCUGCCUCUGGACCUUUCUGUUGGUCACUGGCUGUCACUGCCCCCUGUGUAUACACAGUCCUGACUCUGCCCAUGUUGGUGCUGUCUUUAAAAUUGGGUUAGAAAAAAAAGAAAGAAAGGAAGGAAGGAAGGAAGGAAGGAAGGAAGGAAGGAAGGAAGAAAGAAAG